UUUUUGUUGUGUUCUUUUAUUGUUCUGAAAAUACAUCAUGUUAUUUGAACAGAGGGUUACAUAAACAGUGACAAUAGAUAGUACACUUUAGGGACAUUUAAGCCAAAAGAGAGGCUUUAGGACUGAGAAAGGAUGGAGGAGGCAAACAUUUCAUCUAUUGAAAUUUAUUGGAUUAGGAAAGAUUUUAUCAAGGCAGAGCUCUAGAAAGCCUAAUAAUAUUUUACAUGAAAGGACAGAGAUUUGUGCUAGGCGGAUCAGUGGCUCAUUUUCACAAUCCCACGGGAAUAGUCAUUUCUAACCAAUCUUCAUGCAGUCAUAAAACAACAGGGAGCUCAUAGGUAUAACUUGUUGUCCUCCUGUUAAGAGGAAGUAAUCCAUUUGCGCCAUUCCUGAGUGCAAGUGUAUGUAGGAAUCCAACAAUAACAGAGGCUGCCUGUAAGGUAGAGGAAGACAAAGGUGGACUGGGUGAGAGCAAUGAGGAAUUCAUGCUAAGUCCUAGUUGAGGGAAGGGUGAGUUUGGUCGGUUCCUACAUCUUGAGGGUUUCCUAGGAGACCCUGAAAACAACAGAAGGGAACUCAGGCAUGACCAUCUGAAAUAGUACUUUGGCAAGACAUGACCUUAAUGAGCCUCUCUGGAACGAGGAACUCUAAGGUUUUAUGUACUGAGAUGAAAGUAAACUCCUUGGUCUACUUUCUGUCAUUCCCUAGAAGUCUUACGUUUUUUUUUUUGUUUUUUUUUUUUUGUCUUUUUUUUCCCCAAAGAAAGAACAGCUGUCUAAAUAUUGGAGCUAGCCACAAUGGAUGCUGUGAUAAAAACUGAGUUCUAACAAUUGUGUAUACAAUCAGGGGAAAGCCACAUUUUAACAGAAAAUUUUCCUCACUUUGAAUGAGACGUUGACCCCUAGGGUGCUUUUGGAAGCCACGGGUUGAAGUUGAAAUUGUCUUAUCAGCCUAGGUCACUGAAUGACUUUGCCUCCG
rnacentral:lncRNA from 1 species